rnacentral:rRNA from 1 species
GAUGAACGCUGGCGGCGUGCCUAAUACAUGCAAGUCGAGCGAACAGACGAGGAGCUUGCUCCUCUGACGUUAGCGGCGGACGGGUGAGUAACACGUGGAUAACCUACCUAUAAGACUGGGAUAACUUCGGGAAACCGGAGCUAAUACCGGAUAACAUGUUGAACCGCAUGGUUCAACAGUGAAAGACGGUCUUGCUGUCACUUAUAGAUGGAUCCGCGCCGCAUUAGCUAGUUGGUAAGGUAACGGCUUACCAAGGCAACGAUGCGUAGCCGACCUGAGAGGGUGAUCGGCCACACUGGAACUGAGACACGGUCCAGACUCCUACGGGAGGCAGCAGUAGGGAAUCUUCCGCAAUGGGCGAAAGCCUGACGGGGCAACGCCGCGUGAGUGAAGAAGGUCUUCGGAUCGUAAAACUCUGUUAUUAGGGAAGAACAAAUGUGUAAGUAACUAUGCACGUCUUGACGGUACCUAAUCAGAAAGCCACGGCUAACUACGUGC